rnacentral:lncRNA from 1 species
GAUAUCAAGUUAGAACGGUUGCAUAAAAGAGAAUGUCAUUUCAUCGCGAUCGGAGUGCAAGGAUUCCUCUUUCAUGCCUCCAAACUCAUACUUUCCUUCUCCUUUAGUACAAAACUAAAAUAUAAAACCUUUAUAAAAAUAUAAAGUCAAAAAUAGAUAUAUAAUGACAUAACGUUAAAAAUACCUAUAUAAAAAUGUAAAGUUAAAAUAAUUGUACUGAAACUAAAACUAAAAAUAGAAAGUUUUUCACCUAUGCAUUUGUAGCGUCACGUACUCCGAGAAUAAACGUGUAGUAUCUUUGGGUCAAGUCCAAACAAUAAAUAAAUAAAUAUACUAAUGUAAACGGACCUACUUAUCCAAUUGCUUAACGAAUCUAACAAAUAAGUUAUCAAUAUUACAAUCUGCAGCCCGCAAUACCGACAACUCACUGUUGUUGAUGUGAGAAUUUCUUGACACACAAAUUAAACCCUCUUUUUGACAAUUGUAGUAUAGAUGUAAGUAGGGUAUCGUUCUAGGCCGGGGAUUAGGAGGGAUUGCUAAUCUAUUAAAUUAACUUAAAAAUAUUAAAUAAGACUCAAGGACACAAAACUAGGCUAAAAACUCUAAUAACUCGAAACACACUUAAAAUAACUCAAAAUAAUGAAAACAAUUAAAUUAAACACUAGGAACUGAAAUGGACGGAAAUUAAAUUAAAAGACUAACAAUAAAGAAAACUAACUAAAUAAUAUAAUUUAAUAAUGGAUGGGUGUUUGGUUUUGAUGAAAAGUAAAUUAAACUUAAUUAAAUUACAGAAUUGACAAAAACAUAAAAUUAAGGUAAAAUGAUAAAUGACGGACUAGCUAGAGGGUUUUUCUCCACACAUGACACAUAUGCAACCUAAAUUGAUUUUCAGUUGUUCUUUCAAUAAAUUGUGAAUUUCAAUACUCCAGAUUAACCGUGAACAGCACUUUUUUAAUCUUCAAGUUUUCCUUAAGUUAUUGAAUUGGACGGGAAAACGCAUACAACAAUUCAAAACAUUCUUCAAAAGUCCCCUACGUGAAAAGCACAAUAGAGAUACAAUCAAAGAU